rnacentral:rRNA from 1 species
AGUGAACGCUGGCGGUAGGCCUAACACAUGCAAGUCGAACGGCAGCACAGUAAGAGCUUGCUCUUACGGGUGGCGAGUGGCGGACGGGUGAGGAAUACAUCGGAAUCUACUUUUUCGUGGGGGAUAACGUAGGGAAACUUACGCUAAUACCGCAUACGACCUACGGGUGAAAGCAGUGGAUCUUCUGACCUUGCGCGAUUGAAUGAGCCGAUGUCGGAUUAGCUAGUUGGCGGGGUAAAGGCCCACCAAGGCGACGAUCCGUAGCUGGUCUGAGAGGAUGAUCAGCCACACUGGAACUGAGACACGGUCCAGACUCCUACGGGAGGCAGCAGUGGGGAAUAUUGGACAAUGGGCGCAAGCCUGAUCCAGCAAUACCGCGUGGGUGAAGAAGGACUUCGGGUUGUAAAGCCCUUUUGUUGGGAAAGAAAAGAAGCAGGUUAAUACCCCGCUGUUCUGACGGUACCCAAAGAAUAAGCACCGGCUAACUUCGUG